AUUGAACGCUGGCGGCAGGCUUAACACAUGCAAGUCGAGCGGGCGAGGUUGCUUCGGUAACUGAGCUAGCGGCGGACGGGUGAGUAAUGCUUAGGAAUCUGCCUAUUAGUGGGGGACAACAUUCCGAAAGGGAUGCUAAUACCGCAUACGUCCUACGGGAGAAAGCAGGGGAUCACUUGUGACCUUGCGCUAAUAGAUGAGCCUAGUCGGAUUAGCUAGUUGGUGGGGUAAAGGCCUACCAAGGCGACGAUCUGUAGCGGGUCUGAGAGGAUGAUCCGCCACACUGGGACUGAGACACGGCCCAGACUCCUGCGGGAGGCAGCAGUGGGGAAUAUUGGACAAUGGGGGGAACCCUGAUCCAGCCAUGCCGCGUGUGUGAAGAAGGCCUUUUGGUUGUAAAGCACUUUAAGUGGGGAGGAGGCUUACCUGGUUAAUACCUGGGCUAAGUGGACGUUACCCACAGAAUAAGCACCGGCUAACUCUGUGCCAGCAGCCGCCGUAAGAC
rnacentral:rRNA from 1 species